rnacentral:misc_RNA from 1 species
GAUGAAGAACGUAGCAAAAUGCGAUAAGUAAUGUGAAUUGCAGAAUUCAGUGAAUCAUAGAAUCUUUGAACGCACAUUGCGCCCGCCAGUAUUCUGGCGGGCAUGCCUGUUCGAGCGUCAUUUCAACCCUCAAGCACAGCUUGGUGUUGGGACUCGCGUUAAUUCGCGUUCCUCAAAUUGAUUGGCGGUCACGUCGAGCUUCCAUAGCGUAGUAGUAAAACCCUCGUUACUGGUAAUCGUCGCGGCCACGCCGUUAAACCCCAACUUCUGAAUGUUGACCUCGGAUCAGGUAGGAAUACCCGCUGAACUUAAGCAUAUCAAUAAGCGGAGGA